CACGUAGGGGGCGAGCGUUGUCCGGAAUCAUUGGGCGUAAAGAGCUCGUAGGCGGCUCGGUAAGUCGGGUGUGAAACCCCCAGGCUCAACCUGGGGACGCCACCCGAUACUGCUGUGGCUAGAGUCCAGUAGGGGAGUGUGGAAUUCCCGGUGUAGCGGUGAAAUGCGUAGAUAUUGGGAGGAACACCAGUGGCGAAGGCGGCUCACUGGACCGGAACUGACGCUGAGGCGCGAAAGCGUGGGGAGCAAACAGG
rnacentral:rRNA from 1 species